CCUACGGGUGGCAGCAGUGAGGAAUAUUGGUCAAUGGGCGAGAGCCUGAACCAGCCAAGUCGCGUGAGGGAAGACGGUCCUAUGGAUUGUAAACCUCUUUUGCCGGGGAGCAAAAAACGCUACGUGUGCCGCACCGAGAGUACCCGAAGAAAAAGCAUCGGCUAACUCCGUGCCAGCAGCCGCGGUAAUACGGAGGAUGCGAGCGUUAUCCGGAUUUAUUGGGUUUAAAGGGUGCGCAGGCGGAGAGUCAAGUCAGCGGUAAAAUUGAGGGGCUCAACCUCGACGAGCCGUUGAAACUGGUUUUCUAGAGUGAGCGAGAAGUAUGCGGAAUGCGUGGUGUAGCGGUGAAAUGCAUAGAUAUCACGCAGAACUCCGAUUGCGAAGGCAGCAUACCGGCGCUCAACUGACGCUCAGGCACGAAAGUGUGGGUAUCGAACAGGAUUAGAUACCCGUGUAGUC
rnacentral:rRNA from 1 species